GGACCCGCACAAGCAGUGGAGCAUGUGGUUUAAUUCGAAGAUACGCGCAGAACCUUACCAACGCUUGACAUGUUCGUCGCGAGCCUUAAGAGAUUAGGCUUUUCAGAUUCGGCUGGACGAAACACAGGUGCUGCAUGGCUGUCGUCAGCUCGUGUCGUGAGAUGUUGGUUAAGCUCCGCAACGAGCGCAACCCCUACUUUUAGUUGCCACCAUUUAGUUGGGCACUUUAAAAGAACUGCCAGUGAUAAGCUGGAGGAAGGUGGGGGAUGACCGUCAAGUCCUCAUGGCCCUUAUGUGUUGGGCUACACACGUGCUACAAUGGCACUUACAAUGGGAUGCAAAGAGGCGACUCU
rnacentral:rRNA from 1 species